AGUCUACCUGCCCACUGAAUUUAUUUAAAUGGCCGCAGUAUCCUAACUGUGCAAAGGUAGCAUAAUCAUUAGUCUUUUAAUUGAAGGCUGGUAUGAAUGGUUGGACGAGAUAUUAACUGUUUCAUGAAAAUUUAUAAUAGAAUUUUAUUUUUUAGUCAAAAAGCUAAAAUAAAAUUAAAAGACGAGAAGACCCUAUAAAUCUUUAUAUAUAAAUUAUUAGAAUUUUGUAGAUUUUUUUUAUUAUAAUAGUUGAUUAUAUUUUAUUGGGGUGAUAUUAAAAUUUAAUAAACUUUUAAUUGUUUAAAUCAUUAAUUUAUGAAUAAUUGAUCCGUUAAUAACGAUUAAAAAAAUAAGUUACUUUAGGGAUAACAGCGUAAUUUUUUUGGAGAGUUCAUAUCGAUAAAAAAGAUUGCGACCUCGAUGUUGGAUUAAGAUAUAAUUUUAGGUGUAGCCGCUUAAAUUUUAAGUCUGUUCGACUUUUAAAUUCUU
rnacentral:rRNA from 1 species